rnacentral:rRNA from 1 species
UACGAAGGUCCCAAGCGUUAUCCGGAUUUAUUGGGUUUAAAGGGUGCGUAGGCGGGUUAUUAAGUCAGUGGUGAAAGCCUUCAGCUCAACUGAAGAACUGCCAUUGAUACUGAUGAUCUUGAGUACGAUUGAGGUAGGCGGAAUGUGUCAUGUAGCGGUGAAAUGCUUAGAUAUGACACAGAACACCGAUUGCGAAGGCGGCUUACUAAGUCGUAACUGACGCUGAUGCACGAAAGCGUGGGGAGCAAACAGG